rnacentral:rRNA from 1 species
UGCGAAGGGAGCUAGCGUUGUUCGGAAUCACUGGGCGUAAAGCGCACGUAGGCGGAUGUGUCAGUCAGGGGUGAAAUCCCGGAGCUCAACUUCGGAACUGCCUUUGAUACAGCACGUCUUGAGUCCGAUAGAGGUGGGUGGAAUUCCUAGUGUAGAGGUGAAAUUCGUAGAUAUUAGGAAGAACACCGGUGGCGAAGGCGGCCCACUGGAUCGGUACUGACGCUGAGGUGCGAAAGCGUGGGGAGCAAACAGG